GCCUGGCUGGCUCAGUCGGUAGAGCACAUGACUCUUAAUCUCAGAGUCAUGAGUUCAAGCCCCAUGUUGGGCA
rnacentral:tRNA from 1 species